rnacentral:lncRNA from 1 species
GUAAAUGUCAUCUGACAAGACAGUAACUAGCCUACUUCCACGCGCUCCUAAGGAGAGGCAAGAAAAAGCCACAGACUCCAAAACAACUGGAGAUUCUGGGAGAAAAUGAGAAAGCAUGGACAACUUAGUGUCUGGCGAAGCCUUAUGGAGAAAGUUGGUAGCAGGGGGAGGGACCGGUGACUAAGUGAGAGACAUUUUCCUAGGGAGAUAGAACACACACAUUUCUACUCACCCUAGAUAGUGACAGACCAACGUAAUGAUAGCAUGUUGGUCUAACUUGUUGAACCAGUGAGUUUUUCUUGGAGUUACUAACAGGAGUGUGAGUGAGGGGUUGCUUAUAGAAGCUUCGAUGGCAAAAGCAGCUACAUCAUGGCACAGUCCACCCAAACACUGGUGAUCACUUGCUAAAACUGUAGCCUUGGCUCCCUCUACACAAUUUACAGGUAGCUUCACCUGCUCUUGUAUUGGCUGGUCUUUUCACAGCUGGCUGGGUGGUCAGAGUUUCUCUAUCCAGGAGCUGGUAAAUGUUCCUAUGAAUCUGAGGGGGACCCAUGCAAACAUAGAUCAAGUAAUGCAAACCCUGUAGGCCCCUCCAUCCCUUGGAUUGCUUCUGCAGUUAAUUUCCUACUUUUGGAGUGUUAACGAGGUACGGCAAAUCAUGACAUUUCGAGAGUGUGGAGCGCUGAAGGUUUAGCUGCUGAACUACACUUCAAUUCAGAUGGAAAGAACCGUACCUCAACAUACAACAAGCUAAUCCCACUUGAACACUGCAUAACAUGCCAACUGGAAAACACUGGUGCUUUCAAAAAAAAUCUAACCAAUAACAUAAUCCCAGAGUCCAAAAUGCAGUAGAGAGAUACUGAGUCUGCCUCACUGCUGGGGUGCUGGGGCACCAGUAGAAAACCGCUGGCAAGCCACUCAGGGGAGGCAGAACACGGUCCAUAAUGGAGGCCCUCCGUCUGUUUCCCCAUUGGAAACUACAGGAUCUGGGAAGAUUGCUGGUCAGAGUUUCUCUGUCUCCUGUGUACCCAGGAACAGCUGGCAUACCUCUGGGAGUUGGGAACAGGGGUCCCAGAGCCAUGCUUCACCUCAAGGCAUCCUAAAGCCAAGGAUGAGGGCAGAACCCAGUGGGUUCCAGGUGAAUGCUGACAGUAGGGAGGGACUGGGAGAGAAAAGGAUUUCUCUGGGAGAUUUAGGUACAGGUCUUUAUAAGAAGGCCUCCCUCCACCUCCCCCUACCCCCACCCCUGGCUGUGAUCCUUGAUGAAGAGAGAGACCUUGCUGUGUCCAAACAACUUUAUUGGUGACUAAUGUAUAUGCAUACACCUUACUCAGGGUGCCCAGGAAGAGAAGCUCAUUGGCUGAACACUCAGCCAAUGGGGGCAGGCUAUCUAGAUACCUCAUUAGCAUGGAGGUUUUUAUGCCACUUGACUAAUUGUCUUGGUCCUCUCAGUGGGGUGUCAUGGUUUCCUGUUCCAGAGCAGGUAGUUUGGCAAAGAGCUAGCUACCUCCAUGCCUGCCCUACACAAUUCUGAGUUUCACAGGUUUGGGCUCACUCAGCCUUACUAGUUCUUCUGCCAGGUGGCACUGUCCAUUUGUCCCACAGAGAGACACAAAAAAUAAAGAGAAGACUCCUAAAAUUACCAAUCCCAUGGGGAUAGAGCACAAUGAAAGCAAAUUACAUGAACCCUAAGAAGUCAAGUGAAUUAUUUUAAGAACAUUGAAUGAUUUCAAGAAGCAUAUGAAAUAAACUGAAAGCAUUCAAAGAGAAUCAAACAGAACCUUGAAAUGAGGACAACAGCACAGGGCGUGAAAGGGAGAUCCAGGGACAGUGUUACAGAAACGCUAAAAACAUCAAGUUGAAACUUUGCAAGUGAGAAGCUGGAUUAAAGUAACUCAGGAGAAAGCUUUACAAUAGAAUUGGUCAUAUGGAAGACAGGACUUGGAAACAAGUAAACAAAUUAGAUAAUUCAGCCAAUAAUGAAGAUAUAAUAAUAAUGUUAAUAACCUCACAUUUCCAAUCAAAGGUCAAGGACUAGUAGUUAGGAUUGUUAAAUCAGGGCCCAUGUAUUAAUUGCCCCCAAUAAACACACCUCACUGGCAAAGACAAACACAGACAUAGUGUGAAAGGAUGGAAAAGGGUGUUCUAAGCAAAUGAAACUGGACACAUGCAGGGAUAGCCAUGCUAGUAUCUGACUAGUUACUCAAUCAGGCAGGAUUAAGAAUAUCACUUCAUAUUGGUUAAAAAAAAUUAUCAAAAGAAUAAACUAAUUCUAAAUAUAUAUACACCAAACACUGACAUGUCUAAUUUCACAAAACAAACACUAUUGAAUAUAAAAGAUGGAGGAGCUGUAGAGUUAGCUCAAUGAUUAAGGGCUCUUGGUGGUGAGUUCAAUUCCCAGUACUCAGAUUGUGUGUCUCACAACUGUCUGUAACUCCAGCUCUAGAUGGUCUGACACCUUCUUCUGGCUUCCUUUAGUACCUGCACGCUUGUGUGUGUGUGUGCACAUACAUACACAACCUAAUAAAAAAAUAAAUCUUAAAUAAGUGAAUACUAUUGACCUCAUCAUACAGCACUAAUAAGGAAAAGCUUACAUCUCCCCCUAAAAUCUGGAAUAAGACAAAGAUGCCCAUUCUCUCUAUGUUUAUUCAAUGCAAUGCUUGAAGUCUUUAGCUAGAGCAAUAAGACAGGAAAAGG